rnacentral:lncRNA from 1 species
CACAAGCUCAGGCUUCUGACUUCAUUGCAUAAUGCAGUAGCAACUGGAUUUGCAGCAGAAACACCCUGCUAAAGAACAAGUGUCUUGGUUCACAGCAAAGAGGACAAAGAAAAACAGCAAGUUCUAGGGGGUUGAAUGCUGGAUUCUGCUUUUGUAAACAGAAUCUAUUCAACCAUUCAUGCAUGGACACAGCAAGAAACAGGUUUGCAGGAUGUUUGACAGCUCAGGGAAGUGAUGAAACAGUGCUGUCAAACAGCUACAAAAGGCCUAAGAAGUCCUAAGUGAGCUGUCGUCAAUAAGUGAUAACAUUGCUGUAAAAUAGCAAAUCAAAACAUUUUGGAUGUGAAAACACCAAAAUCGUAAAUUCCUAGAAAUCUUAGAACUCAAUCCCUUGGAAGCCUAAGGAUUUAUUCAAAAACUGAAACUUCCAGAG